CCUACGGGGGGCUGCAGUGGGGAAUAUUGGACAAUGGGCGAAAGCCUGAUCCAGCCAUGCCGCGUGUGUGAAGAAGGCCUUCGGGUUGUAAAGCACUUUCAGUGGGGAAGAAAGCCUUGGGGCUAAUACCCUCGAGGAAGGACAUCACCCACAGAAGAAGCACCGGCUAACUCCGUGCCAGCAGCCGCGGUAAUACGGAGGGUGCGAGCGUUAAUCGGAAUUACUGGGCGUAAAGCGCGCGUAGGCGGUCUGAUAAGCCGGUUGUGAAAGCCCCGGGCUCAACCUGGGAACGGCAUCCGGAACUGUCAGGCUAGAGUGCAGGAGAGGAAGGUAGAAUUCCCGGUGUAGCGGUGAAAUGCGGAGAGAUCGGGAGGAAUACCAGUGGCGAAGGCGGCCUUCUGGACUGACACUGACGCUGAGGUGCGAAAGCGUGGGUAGCAAACAGGAUUAGAUACCCCGGUAGUC
rnacentral:rRNA from 1 species